UGUGGGGUUUACAGAGAAUGGUCUGAAAAACAGAAAAUAGCAGCAAUUCUCUGUAUAUUAACAAUUAUGUACACACGCCCACCGAUGUAGGUCAUGAAGCAGAAAAUAAUCUGAUAGGAGCUCAGACCCUGCCCCUGCUUCAGCUCAGCACAUAAAAAGGAGCAGCGGGAGACCCCUGCAUCUGUAGAUCUGGUUUCAUCGCUCAAAUCUGCAGUUUCUUCUGGUAAAGUAGCAAAAUGUACGGACACAAUGAAGAUAAACAUGAUGGACACGAGCACGGACACGGACACGGGCACGGACACGGGCAUGGCCACGGACACGGACACGGGCACGGGCACGGCCACGGACACGCACAUGGCCACGGACACGGACACGCACAUGGACAUGGACAUGGCCACUAAAAGGAAAGGACAGCCAUGGGCAGUUCCUGCAGCAGCGACUCUGACUAGAUGAACAGUGUUAGACGUGAACCUGGAGACCUUCAUGCUCCUGUCUUAUCAUUUGACUGCCUGCAGUUUCUUUACAAACGGAUUUAAUUAAGAAUUAACAGAGCUGACAAAGUUAUUUUAGACCAUUGUGAACCUUUACAGGCAUGAUUUUAUCCAGUGUUUGUCAGAAAAUAAAUAAAAGUGAUGAAAGUAUCAUCUUUAUGACAUUUUA